UAGGGAAUUGUUCGCAAUGGGCGCAAGCCUGACGACGCAACGCCGCGUGGAGGAUGAAGACCUUCGGGUCGUAAACUCCUUUCGACCGAGAUGAAUAGCCACUGACCUAAUACGUCGGUGGCCUGACAGUAUCGAGGGAAGAAGCCCCGGCUAACUCCGUGCCAGCAGCCGCGGUAAUACGUAGGUGGCAAGCGUUGUCCGGAUUUAUUGGGUUUAAAGGGUGCGUAGGUGGUCUAUUAAGUCAGUGCUGAAAUAUCCCGGCUUAACCGGGAGGGUGGCAUUGAUACUGAUGGACUUGAGUAAAGUUGAGGUAGGCGGAAUUGACGGUGUAGCGGUGAAAUGCUUAGAUAUCGUCAAGAACACCUAUUGCGAAGGCAGCUUACUAAGCUUUAACUGACACUGAGGCACGAAAGUGUGGGGAUCAAA
rnacentral:rRNA from 1 species